AAACUUCAACUGAUCAUUUUUCAGGUUAUGUUUAGCAUGAUUGUAAGAAUGAGAUUAGGUUAUGUUUUAUCAACAAACUGAACAGUCAGGUUAAGAUGUAACAAAGUACAGUAGAUACAAAAUUAUUCAUAACUUGGUAGGUUUAUUCUUAUAAAUAAGCCCUUCUUUAGCAGAAGACUUAUCAAACACAAAGACAUAAUAUUGAUGAAUUCGUUUAAAACAGAAAGUUGAAACGAUUAAUAGUAUGAUUAGGCUAUUCAUCACUGUACCAGAGAAUAACAGGCUGAUUGAGCUAUUGUUGAAACUUUCUGCUGGGUCUAUCUUGCUAGUUUAUGGCUGGUGAUCACCGUAUCAAUUAUCAGGCACGAAAAUAUGUCACAAAGACCGCAGGGACAGUUCAUCGUGUGUGUUGUUCCUCAUUCUGCAAAGACAGUAGUGAACAUGUUAUCCUAUAGUUUGACACCGUACACAUCGUUUUACCAUUACCAUAGGUUAUCCCACUUCCAUUGUAUAAUUUUGUACAUUACAAAACAUGUGUGCUUUCGUGAAUAAUAAUGCAUUUAUGUAGAUUAACAAUUCAUUGUUACUUUCGCAAUUUUUCAUGUUUUGAAAAAAAAAUUAAAAAGUAUUAUAUACGGUAC
rnacentral:lncRNA from 1 species